rnacentral:tRNA from 1 species
CCUGGUGGCUCAGAGGUUAAAGCGUCUGCCUGCAAUGCAGGAGGCCUGGGUUCGAUCCCUGGGUCGGGA